UGAACGCUGGCGGCAGGCCUAACACAUGCAAGUCGAGCGGUAGCACAGAGAGCUUGCUCUCGGGUGACGAGCGGCGGACGGGUGAGUAAUGUCUGGGAAACUGCCUGAUGGAGGGGGAUAACUACUGGAAACGGUAGCUAAUACCGCAUAACGUCGCAAGACCAAAGUGGGGGACCUUCGGGCCUCAUGCCAUCAGAUGUGCCCAGAUGGGAUUAGCUAGUAGGUGGGGUAAUGGCUCACCUAGGCGACGAUCCCUAGCUGGUCUGAGAGGAUGACCAGCCACACUGGAACUGAGACACGGUCCAGACUCCUACGGGAGGCAGCAGUGGGGAAUAUUGCACAAUGGGCGCAAGCCUGAUGCAGCCAUGCCGCGUGUAUGAAGAAGGCCUUCGGGUUGUAAAGUACUUUCAGCGAGGAGGAAGGCGUUAAGGUUAAUAACCUUAGCGAUUGACGUUACUCGCAGAAGAAGCACCGGCUAACUCCGUGCCAGCAGCCGCGGUAAUACGGAGGGUGCAAGCGUUAAUCGGAAUUACUGGGCGUAAAGCGCACGCAGGCGGUCUGUCAAGUCGGAUGUGAAAUCCCCGGGCUCAACCUGGGAACUGCAUUCGAAACUGGCAGGCUAGAGUCUUGUAGAGGGGGGUAGAAUUCCAGGUGUAGCGGUGAAAUGCGUAGAGAUCUGGAGGAAUACCGGUGGCGAAGGCGGCCCCCUGGACAAAGACUGACGCUCAGGUGCGAAAGCGUGGGGAGCAAACAGGAUUAGAUACCCUGGUAGUCCACGCCGUAAACGAUGUCGACUUGGAGGUUGUGCCCUUGAGGCGUGGCUUCCGGAGCUAACGCGUUAAGUCGACCGCCUGGGGAGUACGGCCGCAAGGUUAAAACUCAAAUGAAUUGACGGGGGCCCGCACAAGCGGUGGAGCAUGUGGUUUAAUUCGAUGCAACGCGAAGAACCUUACCUACUCUUGACAUCCAGAGAACUUAGCAGAGAUGCUUUGGUGCCUUCGGGAACUCUGAGACAGGUGCUGCAUGGCUGUCGUCAGCUCGUGUUGUGAAAUGUUGGGUUAAGUCCCGCAACGAGCGCAACCCUUAUCCUUUGUUGCCAGCGGUCCGGCCGGGAACUCAAAGGAGACUGCCAGUGAUAAACUGGAGGAAGGUGGGGAUGACGUCAAGUCAUCAUGGCCCUUACGAGUAGGGCUACACACGUGCUACAAUGGCAUAUACAAAGAGAAGCGACCUCGCGAGAGCAAGCGGACCUCAUAAAGUAUGUCGUAGUCCGGAUUGGAGUCUGCAACUCGACUCCAUGAAGUCGGAAUCGCUAGUAAUCGUAGAUCAGAAUGCUACGGUGAAUACGUUCCCGGGCCUUGUACACACCGCCCGUCACACCAUGGGAGUGGGUUGCAAAAGAAGUAGGUAGCUUAACCUUCGGGAGGGCGCUUACCACUUUGUGAUUCAUGACUGGGGUGAAGUC
rnacentral:rRNA from 1 species